CCUACGGGAGGCAGCAGUGGGGGAUAUUGCGCAAUGGGCGCAAGCCUGACCCAGCAACGCCGCGUGAAGGAAGAAGGCUUUCGGGGUGUAAACUUCUUUUGUCAGGGAAGAGUAUAAGACGGUACCUGACGAAUAAGCCACGGCUAUCUACGUGCCAGCAGCCGCGGUAAUACGUAGGUGGCAAGCGUUGUCCGGAUUUACUGGGUGUAAAGGGCGUGUAGACGGGUUGACAAGUCAGAUGUGAAAUCCUGCGGCUUAACCGCAGAACUGCAUUUGAAACUGUUGAUCUUGAGUACUGGAGAGGCAGAUGGAAUUCCUAGUGUAGCGGUGAAAUGCGUAGAUAUUAGGAGGAACACCAGUGGCGAAGGCGGUCUGCUGGACAGUAACUGACGGUGAGGCGCGAAAGCGUGGGGAGCAAACAGGAUUAGAUACCCGAGUAGUC
rnacentral:rRNA from 1 species